rnacentral:rRNA from 1 species
GACGAACGCUGGCGGCGUGCCUAACACAUGCAAGUCGAACGGGGAGUUACUUAUAACUCCUAGUGGCGAACGGGUGAGUAACGCGUAGACAACCUGCCUCUAAAUUGGGGACAACACCGCGAAAGUGGUGCUAAUACCGAAUGUGGUAACUUGGUCGCCUGACUAGGUUAAGAAAGAUGGCCUCUAUAUAUAAGCUAUAGAUUAGAGAUGGGUCUGCGUCUGAUUAGCUAGUUGGUGAGGGAAUGGCUCACCAAGGCGACGAUCAGUAGCCGGUCUGAGAGGAUGAACGGCCACACUGGGACUGAGACACGGCCCAGACUCCUACGGGAGGCAGCAGUGGGGAAUCUUCCGCAAUGGACGAAAGUCUGACGGAGCAACGCCGCGUGAGUGAAGAAGGUCUUCGGAUUGUAAAGCUCUGUCGUUUGGGACGGACGUGGAUUGUGUGAAUAAUGCAGUCUAAUGACGGUACCAAAGGAGGAAGCCACGGCUAACUACGUGCCAGCAGCCGCCGUAA